rnacentral:rRNA from 1 species
AUUGAACGCUGGCGGCGUGCUUAACACAUGCAAGUCGAUCGGUAACAGGUGUAGCAAUACAUGCUGACGAGAGGCGGACGGGUGAGUAAUGCUUGGGAAUCCGCCUAUUAGUGGGGGACGAACCCGGGGAAACGUCGGGCUAAUACCGCAUACGCUCUACGGAGGAAAGCCGGGGACCGCAAGGCCUGGCGCUAAUAGAUGAGCCCAAGUCGGAUUAGCUAGUUGGUAGGGUAACGGCCACCAAGGCGACAAUCCGUAGCUGGUCUGAGAGGACGACCAGCCACACCGGAACUGAGACACGGUCCGGACUCCUACGGGAGGCAGCAGUGGGGAAGUAUUGGACAAUGGGGCGAACCCUGAUCCAGCGACGCCGCGUGGGUGAAGAAGGCCUGCGGGUUGUAAAGCCCUUUCGGUGGGGGAAGAAAGUACUCGACCCAAUACGUCGGGACCUUGACGUAAACCCACUAAAGAAGCACCGGCUAACUCUGUGCCAGCCGCCGCGGUAAU